GGCCAACUCCCCAGGACAGUCUGAGAGGUCUUCACUGAAGUGUUGCCAUUGAGCUGGACCAUGAAGGAUGUGUAGGAGUCCAUCAGGGUUGAAACGGAGGGAAGAUCACCAUAAGGAGAGGGAACAGAGGUGCAUCUUUUCCAGCCGAAGCUGCCCUCAUUCUCCUCUGAAAUCCUACUGCACUGACUGGGGACGCCCACUGGCUAAUCAAGCGCCCGGUGGAGAGGUGCUGUGCUGGUCUCCUCUGCUGCCCUAGAGGCACACCUGGUGGCUGGUCCCUGCCUCUUUACACCAGUGUUCCACCCCAGGCCUGUGCAACAAGACCUCCACUGCCUCGAAGCCUUUCUGUCUCAGCCACUUCCAGGGACGCCAAUGCCCUGUGGCCUGUCCCUUCAGGCCUGCCAUCUCAUCCUUCCCUCAAUGCUGACCUCACCCAGGAAGUGUCUCUGUCCACUCAGGUAAGAAGCCGGCAAGGAGGGGGCACCCGGGAAAAGUAGUGAACGGAUCUAUCAAUCAACGUCCAGCAGAUGGUUCAAACGGGCACCCAGUACAUUUCAUGAACGAAUGAAUCAAUGCACGUCUAGCAGACUGUACCAACGCCUUAAUUCUUCCCCACCUGCAGGGAUAAGCUGAACGAAGCCUGUGUGUGCACGUGCACACAAUCACACCUUCACCGGUUGUGAGGGGAGACUGGCAGACCUUAGCACCUUCAGACUACCGUGGGUCGGCUCAUCCCCUCCUUGAGAAACAGAAGCGACACAGCUCAAGGGAAAGAGGUACCUUGCCCCCCAGACACUACAAAUCAGGUACCUCUUCUCCCUCCCUGCCGGAAGACCCUCAUACUCAGGAAAAUAUUCUCUCUCAGCAGCAUCUACACUCUCCCACCGGCCCCAGCCCGGACUCCUGGCCCCCCCGGGGCCACUGAGCCCCCCUCGAUGACAGCCUCCUCAGGUUCCCCAAAGUAGGACACCCAGGCGUUUGGCACUCUACUCCUUCCACAGCACAGUGGGUUCUGGAACGUUCUGAGGAAUGGGCUUUUUUUGGCCCAGGAGGGCAAACCCCAAGAAUCAGAUAAACACCAGCGCAGGCCUCCAGCCCCCUGGGGGGCCCAUUCCGAGGCACGGCGCGCGCAGGGACCGCCACGCCGCCUCUGCGCUGGGCGCACACCUACCGCCCUGGCCGGCGUCCCGGUGUCGCACCCAGAGCACUGAGCGCGCCCCGAAACUCCGCGCUCCUGCUGGGCCCCGCUCCCAGCUGUCAGGGCAGCCAAGUGGGCUGUCACAAAAAAGGGAAAAAGCACAUGAAACGUUUCGGGUUGUUUUUAUGGGCCUCGGCGGCCCCCGCUCCUCCCCCGGGCUCCCAUGGCAGACACACAAGUAUGAGUUCAGACCCUGCACGACACCUUUCGGACAGGCUGGUGACGCCAGCCCCGGGGAGUACAAGAGGCCGG
rnacentral:lncRNA from 1 species